ACGUAAUAGAUACCCAGGUAGUCCACGCCCUAAACGAUGUCUACUAGUUGUUGGUGGAGUAAAAAUACCAUGAGUAAAACGCAGCUAAACGCGUGAAGUAGACCGCCUGGGGAGUACGGUCGCAAGAUUAAAACUCAAAGGAAUUGACGGGGCCCGGCACAAGCGGUGGAUUAUGUGGAUUAAAUUCGAUGCAACGCGAAAAACCUUAACCUGGCCUUGUACAUGCCACUAACGAAGCAGAGAUGCAUUAGGUGCCGUAACGGGAAAGUGGACACUGGUGCUGCAUGGCUGUCGUCAGCUCGUGUCGUGAGAUGUUGGGUUAAGUCCCGCAACGAGCGCAACCCUUGCCA
rnacentral:rRNA from 1 species